rnacentral:rRNA from 1 species
UACGUAGGGGCGAGCGUUGUCCGGAAUUACUGGGUGUAAAGGGCGUGUAGGCGGUUUGUCGCGUCUGCUGUGAAAAUCCGGGGCUCAACCCCGGACUUGCAGUGGGUACGGGCAGACUAGAGUGUGGUAGGGGAGACUGGAAUUCCUGGUGUAGCGGUGAAAUGCGCAGAUAUCAGGAGGAACACCGGUGGCGAAGGCGGCUCUCUGGACAGAUACUGACGCUGAGGCUCUAAAGUUAGGGGAGCAAACAGGAUUAGAUACCCCUGUAGUCCCUGA